UCUCACUCUCAGGUUCUCACCAUGGUCUCCGAUGGUUUUCACUCUUAGGUUCUCACCAUGGCCUCCGAUGAAGACUAGGGUGAUGCCCAGAACUCGGCGAUUCACCAUGGCCGAUGAAGACUAUGAUGAUGUUGACAUGGGUAAUCACCAAUGGCCUUGACUGGAAGGCCUUGACUCUAGGCCAUCAGGAACAAUUGAGAAUCCUGAGGGCAGUAGGUGGGCAGUAUGGCAAGGUUGCUUGAAUCACAUCCUGUCAUCACAGACUGCAUACCAGUAUUGUGCACUAGAGGACACUUGACUUCAAAAAGUGAUGUUUAUAGCUUUGGAGUUGUGUUGCUUGAGAUUUUAACAGGAAGAAGAUCGAGGGACAAAAAGCGCCCGAGCGGGGGACAAAGUCUUGUUUCAUGGGCUAGGCCAUAUUUAGCAGACAAGAAUGAUGGAAGAGUUAUGAUACAUUGAUUUUCUGUAAGCUCUUUUAUAAGAGAGCUAACACUUACCAUUUGCUAAUGUUGUAAUUGAGAAAUCCGGUAUGUAUAUGGAAGGCCUCGCGUCUUAGCAAAUUGUUUGCAGCUACCUGAAUCAAUAGUGUCUAGCAGUGGAAAUAACAUUUUUCUACUUUAGUGCUAAGAUUUUUAUGCUUCAAUUUAAUUCUUUUGAGACAAAUCAUAGUUCUAGUAUGUACAAAAGAUUUGUUUGAGUAUGCUUUAUUCAAUAUAUAAACUACUGGAGACAUAAUCGUUGCAUGCCA